UCUGGUGGUUAUACCGGGGAGGUCACACCCGAUCCCAUUCCGAACUCGGAAGUUAAGCUCCCACGGGCCGAUGGUACUUGCCUCGCACGGGGCUGGAAGAGUAGGUUGCUGCCAGAU
rnacentral:rRNA from 1 species